UAAUUAGGCUAACACUAAAAUAAUUUUGCAAAUCGGACCAGUACUUCCUGGGAUUAGCGCGUUCAAACAAACAAACAAACAAACUCAUCAGCUUUAUAAUAUU